rnacentral:rRNA from 1 species
AUUGAACGCUGGCGGCAUGCUUUACACAUGCAAGUCGAACGGUAACAGGCCGCAAGGUGCUGACGAGUGGCGAACGGGUGAGUAAUGCAUCGGAACGUGCCCAGUCGUGGGGGAUAACGCAGCGAAAGCUGUGCUAAUACCGCAUACAAUCUAUGGAUGAAAGCGGGGGACCGUAAGGCCUCGCGCGAUUGGAGCGGCCGAUGUCAGAUUAGGUAGUUGGUGGGGCAAAGGCCUACCAAGCCGACGAUCUGUAGCUGGUCUGAGAGGACGCCCAGCCACACUGGGACUGGGAGACGGCCCCGACUCCUACGGGAGGCAGCAGUGGGGAAUUUUGGACAAUGGGCGCAAGCCUGAUCCAGCAAUGCCGCGUGCAGGAAGAAGGCCUUCGGGUUGUAAACUGCUUUUGUACGGAACGAAACGGUCUGGGUUAAUACCCUGGGCUAAUGACGGUACCGUAAGAAUAAGCACCGGCUAACUACGUGCCAGCCGCCGCCGUAAGAC